UACAGAGGUCUCAAGCGUUGUUCGGAUUCAUUGGGCGUAAGGGUGUGUAGGUGGCGCGCUAAGUCGGGUGUGAAAUUUCGGAGCUUAACUCCGAAACUGCAUUCGAUACUGGAUGGCUUGAGUUUGGGAGAGGGAUGCGGAAUUCCAGGUGUAGCGGUGAAAUGCGUAGAUAUCUGGAGGAACACCGGUGGCGAAGGCGGCAUCCUGGACCAAUACUGACACUGAGGAGCGAAAGCGUGGGGAGCGAACAGG
rnacentral:rRNA from 1 species